UACAGAGUGCUCGAAGCGUUGUUCGGAUUCAUUGGGCGUAAAGGGUGCGUAGGUGGCGCCGUAAGUCAGGUGUGAAAUUUCGGAGCUUAACUCCGAAACUGCAUUUGAUACUGCGGUGCUUGAGGACUGGAGAGGAGACUGGAAUUCACGGUGUAGCAGUGAAAUGCGUAGAUAGUCGGGAGGAACACCAGUGGCGAAGGCGGCUUCCUGGACCUGAUCUGACGCUGAGGAGCGAAAGCGUGGGGAGCGAUCCGG
rnacentral:rRNA from 1 species